AUGCGUACUGCCUCGCCUCGAGCCUGCCUCUGACCUGUUGGGCGCAUGCGCGGGGCUGGCGGUUCCUUUUCCUCCUGUGAAGCCGUUGUCUAGGGGAGGCCGCCAUCAGCACCGCAAAAACCAGCCGCAAUGGGGUUUGUAAAAGUCGUGAAGAGCAAGUCAUACUUCAAGCGAUACCAAGUGAAGUACAGGAGACGAAGAGAGGGUAAGACUGACUACUUCGCGAGAAAGCGCCUGGUCGUUCAGGACAAGA